rnacentral:rRNA from 1 species
AUAGCCGCCCGAAAGGACGGGUAAUACCGGAUACCCCGGGGUGCCGCAUGGCACCCCGGCUAAAGCCCCGACGGGAGGGGAUGGCUCCGCGGCCCAUCAGGUAGACGGCGGGGUGACGGCCCACCGUGCCGACAACGGGUAGCCGGGUUGAGAGACCGACCGGCCAGAUUGGGACUGAGACACGGCCCAGACUCCUAGGGAGGCAGCAGUGGGGAAUCUUGCGCAAUGGGGGGAACCCUGACGCAGCGACGCCGCGUGCGGGACGGAGGCCUUCGGGUCGUAAACCGCUUUCAGCAGGGAAGAGUCAAGACUGUACCUGCAGAAGAAGCCCCGGCUAACUACGUGCCAGCAGCCGCGGUAAUACGUAGGGGGCGAGCGUUAUCCGGAUUCAUUGGGCGUAAAGCGCGCGUAGGCGGCCCGGCAGGCCGGGGGUCGAAGCGGGGGGCUCAACCCCCCGAAGCCCCCGGAACCUCCGCGGCUUGGGUCCGGUAGGGGAGGGUGGAACACCCGGUGUAGCGGUGGAAUGCGCAGAUAUCGGGUGGAACACCGGUGGCGAAGGCGGCCCUCUGGGCCGAGACCGACGCUGAGGUGCGAAAGCUGGGGGAGCGAACAGGAUUAGAUACCCUGGUAGUCCCAGCCGUAAACGAUGGACGCUAGGUGUGGGGGGACGAUCCCCCCGUGCCG